AGUGAACGCUGGCGGUAGGCCUAACACAUGCAAGUCGAACGGCAGCACAGUAAGAGCUUGCUCUUACGGGUGCCGAGUGGCGGACGGGUGAGGAAUACAUCGGAAUCUACUUUUUCGUGGGGGAGAACGUAGGGAAACUUACGCUAAUACCGCAUACGACCUACGGGUGAAAGCAGGGGAUCUUCGGACCUUGCGCGAGUGAAUGAGCCGAUGUCGGAUUAGCUAGUUGGCGGGGUAAAGGCCCACCAAGGCGACGAUCCGUAGCUGGUCUGAGAGGAUGAUCAGCCACACUGGAACUGAGACACGGUCCAGACUCCUACGGGAGGCAGCAGUGGGGAAUAUUGGACAAUGGGCGCAAGCCUGAUCCAGCCAUACCGCGUGGGUGAAGAAGGCCUUCGGGUUGUAAAGCCCUUUUGUUGGGAAAGAAAAGCAGCAGGUUAAUACCCCGCUGUUCUGACGGUACCCAAAGAAUAAGCACCGGCUAACUUCGUG
rnacentral:rRNA from 1 species